rnacentral:rRNA from 1 species
AGCGAACGGGUGAGUAACACGUGGGUGAUCUGCCCUGCACUUCGGGAUAAGCCUGGGAAACUGGGUCUAAUACCGGAUAGGACGAUGGUUUGGAUGCCAUUGUGGAAAGUUUUUCGGUGUGGGAUGAGCUCGCGGCCUAUCAGCUUGUUGGUGGGGUAAUGGCCUACCAAGGCGUCGACGGGUAGCCGGCCUGAGAGGGUGUACGGCCACAUUGGGACUGAGACACGGCCCAG